rnacentral:rRNA from 1 species
UUUGAUCCUGGCUCAGGAUGAACGCUAGCGGCAGGCUUAAUACAUGCAAGUCGUGGGGCAGCAGGUUUGUAGCAAUACAGAUGCUGGCGACCGGCAAACGGGUGCGGAACACGUACAGAACCUUCCUUUGAGCGGGGAAUAGCCCAGAGAAAUUUGGAUUAAUACCCCAUAGUAUAAUGAAGUGGCAUCACUUUAUUAUUAAAGAUUUAUCACUCGAAGAUGGCUGUGCGGCUGAUUAGGUAGUUGGCGGGGUAAAGGCCCACCAAGCCUGCGAUCAGUAACUGGUGUGAGAGCACGACCAGUCACACGGGCACUGAGACACGGGCCCGACUCCUACGGGAGGCAGCAGUAAGGAAUAUUGGUCAAUGGAGGCAACUCUGAACCAGCCAUGCCGCGUGGAGGAUGAAGGUCCUCUGGAUUGUAAACUUCUUUAUAUGGGACGAAAAAAGGCUUUCUAAGUCGUCUGACGGUACCAUAUGAAUAAGCACCGGCUAACUCCGUG